GACGAACGCUGGCGGCGUGCUUAACACAUGCAAGUCGAACGGAAAGGCCCUGCUUUUGUGGGGUGCUCGAGUGGCGAACGGGUGAGUAACACGUGAGUAACCUGCCCUUGACUUUGGGAUAACUUCAGGAAACUGGGGCUAAUACCGGAUAGGAGCUCCUGCUGCAUGGUGGGGGUUGGAAAGUUUCGGCGGGUGGGGAUGGACUCGCGGCUUAUCAGCUUGUUGGUGGGGUAGUGGCUUACCAAGGCUGUGACGGGUAGCCGGCCUGAGAGGGUGACCGGCCACAUUGGGACUGAGAUACGGCCCAGACUCCUACGGGAGGCAGCAGUGGGGAAUAUUGCACAAUGGGCGGAAGCCUGAUGCGGCAACGCCGCGUGCGGGAUGACGGCCUGCGGGUUGUAAACCGCUUUCGCCUGUGACGAAGCGUGAGUGACGGUAAUGGGUAAAGAAGCACCGGCUAACUUCGUG
rnacentral:rRNA from 1 species